GACGAACGCUGGCGGCGUGCUUAACACAUGCAAGUCGAACGGAAAGGCCCUGCUUUUGUGGGGUGCUCGAGUGGCGAACGGGUGAGUAACACGUGAGUAACCUGCCCUUGACUUUGGGAUAACUUCAGGAAACUGGGGCUAAUACCGGAUAGGAGCUCCUGCUGCAUGGUGGGGGUUGGAAAGUUUCGGCGGUUGGGGAUGGACUCGCGGCUUAUCAGCUUGUUGGUGGGGUAGUGGCUUACCAAGGCUUUGACGGGUAGCCGGCCUGAGAGGGUGACCGGCCACAUUGGGACUGAGCUACGGCCCAGACUCCUACGGGAGGCAGCAGUGGGGAAUAUUGCACAAUGGGCGGAAGCCUGAUGCAGCAACGCCGCGUGCGGUAUGACGGCCUUCGGGUUGUAAACCGCUUUCGCCUGUGACGAAGCGUGAGUGACGGUAAUGGGUAAAGAAGCACCGGCUAACUACGUG
rnacentral:rRNA from 1 species